UACGAAGGGGGCUAGCGUUGCUCGGAAUCACUGGGCGUAAAGCGCACGUAGGCGGAUCUUUAAGUCAGGGGUGAAAUCCUGGAGCUCAACUCCAGAACUGCCUUUGAUACUGGGGAUCUCGAGUCCGGGAGAGGUGAGUGGAACUCCGAGUGUAGAGGUGAAAUUCGUAGAUAUUCGGAAGAACACCAGUGGCGAAGGCGCUCACUGGACCGGCAUUGACGCUGAGGUGCGAAAGCGUGGGGAGCAAACAGGGAUUAAGAAACCCCUGGUACG
rnacentral:rRNA from 1 species